AUGGCAAUAGCUUGAUUAGAUCUAACAACAGUGUUUUGUCUUGUGCAAAAAUGUAGGAAUUCGACUCAAGAUCCAACGAGGUUGAUGAGCUACCUAUGCAAAGGGAUUACCAUGGAAGCGACAAAAACAAGGAAAAGAGGGACAAACAAGCUGCUCUAGAAAAGAUUCUGAAUUUACAACAGCAAUUAGCUGCCAAAGAGAAUCAUGAGUUAGAAAUAGAACAGUUGCAGGGAAAACUGGAAGUUGUGAAGCAUCAAGGUUUAGAAUCAAAGGAGAAGAUAGAUGUACCGAGUCAGGAACUAAAGGAUAAGAAUGAUGAAAUUGAAGCAUUGGAGUUGCUGAACAUGACUCUGUUUAUCGUGGAAAGGAAAAAGCAAUGAUCAGUUACAAGAUGCUCUGAAGGAGCUGAUAAAUGAAAAGGUUAUCUGAAGAGGACAUAGAUGCCACCUGUGCUCUCCUUCUCCUUUGUUCAAAAUGGGAAGAGGAAAUUAGAAACCCAAACUGGCACCCUUUCCAGGUUGAAAUGGUUGAUGGAAAAGAAAUGGUACAACCCCUUGA